AUAACCAGGAGGAGGUGGGGUGGGGGGAGACUUGUUGCAAUGACUAAUAAUCCUCGAUGUUUCCAGAGUUCAAAGGAACCAUCUUUUUCUCAACAUUCCACAGAACAUCAGACGGGCCUAUUAUACUGAUAGCAUCAUAAUAACAAUUCAAAUGAGCAGGAAAUGGCAAGAACUCAGAAGUCCUGGUAAGAUGUGUGCAUCAGGGGUUGGAGAUAAGCCCUACAAAGACUCAGAGGCCUGCCACAUCAGAAAAGUUUUUAAAGGUCCAGUGGUAUGGGGCAUACUGUGGUAUUUCUUCCAAGAUAAAGAAGAAAUCGUUAAACCUUGAACAUCCCAUCUUUAAGCCUAGGUACAGAGGAUCUGCUCAAGAAAUAUUUGCAGAAUCCAUUUGAAUGUUGCUGAGUCCUGCAGGUUUAGGAAACUCUCCAGAAGUGUGGCAAGACUUCUUCAACACUGAUGUGAUAUUGAGUGGUGAGAAGGAUGCUCUCUCUAAACUGCUUUUCAGCUCUUCUGCCAUGACCUGUCCAGGCUGUCUGCACCAAGGCCACAUAUGGAGAAGACCCACCCCCACCAAAAAGACCAAGAACCCACCAUGGAGGGAAGAGCUUCAUGGACAGUAGCAUGGCCAGUUGCAUGGAGAAAGGUCCUAGGCCUGCAUUCUAGAUUUAUGUCAACAUCCCAAAUCUAUGCCAAGACUGGACAACUGGUGUCA
rnacentral:lncRNA from 1 species